rnacentral:sRNA from 1 species
UGUGGCUGUUAAACAUAGAGUCAUUUGCUUUGAUAGUCAUCUGACAGUCUCUUUUGAAGUUUGACAAGCUUUUACAUGACUCAAGCCUAAAGAGAAAGCCAUUUCUUUCCUCUAUUCAGAAGUGAACUGAAUGAGUGUGUGCAGGUUCAACUAAGAUCUCAUAAAGAAGUAAUCUGGGUUCUAUCUUAAUACAGACUAAUAGAUGAUCAAAGCCUUGCAGUUCUAUUAUAUCACAUAGGGUAUUGUCAUAUUUGUUUUAAUCUGGAUGAGAAACAUUUAAAAAAUGUGUAUCACUUUGACAUUUUUAAAAAAUCUCAGUAAUAUCUAGCCUUCAUCAAUGUAAUUGACCAACCAAAGGAAACAUCUUUUGACUGACAAGUGACUGUUUAGAGAACAAGAAUAAGUUGACUUACUAUCUGAGACUGUCAAGCAUUUAGACAGUUAAAUGUUAGUGUACAAGUAGGACCAGACAUUUGAAAACUAUGACUUUAAUGUUAAAUUCUUGCAUCUCUCUGAAAGCAAUUAUAUAAUAUGGCCAGUAAUUGAUUCAGGUCAUUCUAAUUUUGUGACAGUGUUUCUGUAUUUAUAUACAGAUACAGAUUUAUUUUAUUUUUGAAUGAUUGAUUGCUAGUCAAAAGAAUUAGCAUCCAUGUGUUGCCCUACCAAAAGUAGCCUUUAUGUUUCAUCAAACUUGUUCCAGCUAAUCCAUAUUUUAGAGGCGUUAUUUGGAGGCCGAAGCAUUAAUACCCAGGAAGUACAUUUUAAUAUGGCAAAGAGAACUCAAAGAGGUUUGCUUAGUAUCAAGAAUAUUAACAAAGUGAAUUAGGGGAAAAGAAGUUUUAAUUUUGUUUUAUUUUUCUUACAGCUUUGCCAGGAAGUAAAGCUUCGGAGGAAAAUCAAUAUGAAUGAACGUGCUAAGAUCAUUGAUCUUUACCAUGAGAAGACCAUUCCAGACAAAGUGACAGAAUCUUCCCCAAAUUACCCCGAUUUAGGACAAUGUGAAUUUAUAAGGACGAAUCACAAAGAUGGUCUGAGAAAAGAAAAUAAAAGAGAGCAGAGCUUAGUCAGUGGAGGAAAUCAAAUGUGUAAGGAACAAAAAGCAACAAAAAAAUCAAAAGUAGGGUUUUUGGAUCCUUUGGCUACAGACAACCAAAAGGAAUGUGAGGCCUGGCCUGACCUAAGGACUUCUGAGGAAGAGAGCAAGAGCUGUUCUGGCGCCCUCAAUACAGCUCUUGAAGAACUUGCGAAGGUUAGUGAGGAAUUAUGCAGCUUUCAAGAGGAAAUUCGAAAGCGGUCUAACCAUAGAAGGAUGAAGUCAGAUUCUUUUCUCCAGGAAAUGCCAAAUGUAACUAAUACACCUCAUGGGGACCCCAUGAUCAACAAUGACCAGUGCAUUCUUCCAAUCAGUUUAGAAAAAGAAAAACAGAAAAAUAGGAAGAAUCUGAGCUGUACCAAUGUGCUCCAGAGCAAUUCUACGAAAAAAUGUGGAAUUGAUACAAUCGAUUUGAAAAGAAAUGAAACUCCACCAGUUCCUCCUCCAAGAAGCACCUCUCGAAAUUUUCCCAGCUCAGAUUCUGAACAAGCCUGUGGAAGAUGGAAGGAAAGGUUAGACCACAACAGCUGGGUGCCCCAUGAGGGUCGAAGUAAAAGGAAUUACAACCCUCACUUCCCUUUGAGACAACAUGAGAUGUCUAUGUUGUAUCCAAAUGAAGGGAAAACUUUGAAAGAUGGUACCAUCUUUUCCUCUUUGGUACCAGAAGUCAAAAUAGAUAGCAAGCCUCCAAGUAAUGAAGAUGUUGGACUUAGCAUGUGGUCAUGUGACAUUGGGAUAGGUGCAAAAAGGAGCCCCUCUACUUCGUGGUUUCAGAAAACCUGCUCUACCCCCAGUAAUCCAAAAUAUGAAAUGGUGAUCCCAGCUCACCCUGCUAAAUCUCAUCCUGAUCUUCAUGUAAGUAAUGACUGUAGCUCCUCAGUAGCAGAGAGCAGUAGCCCACUUAGAAAUUUCAAUUGUGGCUUUGAAAGGACUACAAGGAAUGAGAAGCUGGCAGCAAAGACUGAUGAAUUUAACAGAACUGUAUUUAGAACAGAUAGAAAUUGUCAGGCAAUACAGCAAAAUCACAGCUGCUCAAAAUCAUUGGAGGAUCUCAAGCCCUGUGAUAACUCAUCUACUCACACAGGUAGCAUAUCACAAAGUAACGAUGUAUCUGGUAUUUGGAAAACCAAUGCCCACACGCCUGUGUCCAUGGAAAAUGUGCCUGAUAAUCCCAUCAAGAAAUCCACAACAGGCCUAGUAAGACAAAUGCAGGGACACCUAAGUCCUCGCAGUUAUCGGAAUAUGCUCCACGAGCAUGACUGGAGACCAAGUAAUUUGUCUGGCCGUCCGAGGUCAGCUGAUCCCAGGUCAAAUUAUGGUGUUGUGGAAAAGCUGCUGAAAACCUAUGAGACAGCAACAGAGUCUGCAUUGCAAAAUUCUAAGUGCUUCCAGGAUAAUUGGACCAAAUGUAAUUCUGAUGUCAGUGGUGGUGCCACAUUAAGUCAGCAUUUAGAAAUGCUCCAAAUGGAACAAGAGUUUCAGCAAAAGACAGCUGUGUGGGGGGGACAGGAAGUGAAGCAAGGAAUAGAUCCGAAAAAGAUAACAGAGGAAUCCAUGUCAGUGAACGCCUCACAUGGAAAAGGAUUUUCCCGACCUGCUAGACCAGCAAAUCGUCGUCUCCCCUCCAAAUGGGCAUCCAGAUCUCCAUCUGCACCCCCUGCCUUGCGGAGAACUACCCACAACUAUACCAUUUCUCUGCGAUCCGAAGCAUCGAUGGUUUAAGUCUUUGGCCUGGAUUGCUGUAUUACAGAAGUUCUAGUCCCACUUGUCAAACAGAGCAUUCUGAGUGUUUACAGGCGGACCUGUUCUCUUCCGACAAGCAAUUUGAAUCUUAACUUUCCAUCAGUCUUCAGUGUUUUUAAUCUAAGGAAUAAUUAUCUUCCUGUAUUUUGAUUUCUUAGAUCAGAAUUUUUUAAUGCCAUCCUCAUUAAUUUUCCAAUAUAAGUUGAAACAAUGUACAAUAUUGUAUAUUCUUUGUUGCAAGUGGCAGAAAGUAAGGUUAUGUGCAUGGCCAUGUGUUUGUAGGUGCAUGUGUUGAAAUAGGAAGUAUCCUAGUAUGUAUUUAGAUAUGAAAAACAUGUGCUAGUGUUGACUUUGAAAUUAUAACAUGUAUACCUAUAUAUUCUUUGUGUUUAUUUAAAAGUUUUGAAAAUAUGCAGUACUGUUUAUAUUUUGUAUACCUUUUAAUAGGUAUCCACUUAAGGCAUUUGUGGUACAAAUAUUAAUUGACCACUUCCUUGGCCCCCAGCUACAAUGAAAAAGAAGAAUUAUGCACAGAUCUAACAUUGGUAGAUUUCUAAAGACAACUCAUAAAUAAUUUCUUAACCCAUAUAAGGAUAAAAUAAUAACAUUGAUAUUCUUGUUUAUUCUUUUUAAAUAAAAAUGUCACAAGUUUAAUAGAUCAGCCUUGUAAAGCAAGCAUAAAAUGUUCAUAAAUGUUUUAUAUAUUAUUUGGUAGUCUAGUAUGGCUUUAACUGAAUAUUUGAUCCUCAGAGACAGUACCAUGAGACUGCAUUAUAAAUGACAUGAUUAAAUAAUGAAUUUAUUUUGUCAGCCUCAGCAACAAACGUUUCCUAAAUGGGAUGCAAAAAGAAACGGAAUGAUGUUGAAUUUUAGUUUUUCUUUAAGUUGUGGUAAGCUUUUAGUUUAGCUGCUUUAACAUGGAGUCAUACAUACUUAGAGGUAAGUCAUUUAUUAUUUUUUCCUUUUUCUAACCUUUUCCUUAAAAUUAAUAGAUAACAAACUAAGUUACUUUUUUACUAACAAGGAAGAUCAGGAAUAAUAUUUCUUUGAAAGCUGAAAUUACACUUCUCACAGUUUGCUACAAAAAAAAAAGGCUUAAACUAAACCUUGACAUCCACAGUAGCAUCAGGAAUAGAAAUGUAUAUUUUGGCUACAGUUUGCAUACAGUGAACACAUAAAAUCUAUAUUGAAAACUGACAGAAAUAUGAAUGUUGAGGAGCUUGGAAUUCUAAAUGGAAGAUUUUAGAAGGAACUUUGCUCUCUACUGUCACUGUAUAAAACCAAUUAUGUUAUGUUAUUAGAUAUUAAUUAUAUUUAAGCUUUUCUUUUACUAAGAAAUUCUUAUGCCAAAUGUAUUCCAAGAGCCAUCUCCUUAUGAUGUAUUUGAACCAUUUAGAGAAAUUCACUUCAUUGUACCCCAUGACCUGAGGUAAAGAAAAUAAUUUUCAAAUUGCAGACUUCCUUGAAAGGCUCAAAACUGUAGCAUGGUGAUGUCUAGAUUCAUACUUUACUGUAAGGACAGUUUCGGUAGUUAAGUGGAAUUAAAGGUCUACAGUGAUUUGUAUUGGAUGGUAACUAAGGUCUAUAAAUCUACUCUUUUAAUUCUUAUUUCCUUCAGGAAGAUCCUUUUCCACAGGAAGCUAUCAAAGGAAAGUAAACUAGACACCAAGUAAUAUCACUCUCAUAAUAUGCUUUCCAGUUAGAGGGGAGAAAACACCAGGAAAGUGGAACCCUGGGUCAUAAAAUGACAGACUUGUUAGGAAAAUGCUGUUAUGUGACAAUGGAGAGCCUGCCCAAGGACUGUGCAACCUAUCUGUUCCUCUUCACCACUGUAUCCCAAGUAGUCUGGUAUGAUCUGUGGUUCCUUAGAAUAUUGAGGAUCUCUUUAAAAAAAUGAAAUUUCUGAUCUCACCCCAUAUUACUAAAGCAAAAUUUCCAGGGGUAGGGACUGGGACUCCAGAACCAUUAACAAAACAAAACAAAACAAAGCAAAAUAUUGAUGAUCAGGCAGAUUUGAAAACAGUGACAUUGAUUGAUCUCUGAAUGGAUGGAUGCCCUUGGGUGGUCACUUUUCUUCCUAGGACUUGCCUUUGUUAUCUGUAAAUUAGAACGGCUAUACUUUCAGACUUCACGAUUUUAAGCCACUUUUUUCUAUUAACAGUUGAAUGAACCAGUGGGACACAUUUUAAUGUCUUUUUAUGUUGACUAAAAUUAUAGUUAGAGCUGAGAAAAAAAAAAAUUAGCAUCUAGUCCAAUUCCUUGAUUGUAAAACUGAAAAACUAAGGUUAUUUGAAUGUUCUGUUUUCUCUUUUUAAAUAUUUUAUAAUUUUUAAAUGGAAAACCUAUUAGGUAAAUGGAAAUAAUCCUUGAAAAUAGUUUUUGAUGUUUUGUGAUUUUUAACUGGUAAAUUUCUACUUUAGGUGGGCAUUUUCUUCCCUAGAAUAUGCCCUUUAUUAUGCUAUCAUUGCUAGAUUUAAAGGGACUUGUAAGCAUUUCUGGAAAUAUUUGAUUUAAAAACAUAUAUUAAUAGAUGUUUUCCCUAGCAGACUUUUGGAGCAAAAAUAUUAUUUUAGUUCAGCAGAGGAUUACUGACAUUAUGGGCUGAUCUCAGAAAGGAAUAAGGAUGAGGCAGAGAGGAGUACUUGAGUUUCUGUGUGUGUGUGUGUGUGUGUGUGUGUGAGUGUGUGUUUGUGUCGGUGUCACAUAAGUUCUCCAUAUUGCCUUAUGUCCCAAAGCCAAAUAUAAAAAUAUAAAUGAUGCUUUGUAUAAUUCAUUUUAUCAAAAAUUACCCAUAACUUUCAUUUGUUUUUAUAUCGACAAUGAAGAUGAUCACAUUUCAUUUUGCAGAUGUGGCCAUAAAAUAUUAUUUACUUCUACAUAGGUGAUUUUACCAGGUUUAGUUAUCCUGAGAAAACAUCUGGACUUAAAAGAGUUUCUGCUUCCCUGCAAAGAUCUUUAAAAUUAUUUUUAGGCACAUUUGUGAUAAACAACUACUUGAUAUUGAAAUCUCCUUCAGCCAUUAGAAGAUAUCAAAUAAAGUAGGCAUAAAAGCAACUGUCUGUGGCAUUUGUAUACAUCGAGAACAUUUUUCUUUCCCUCAUUUUCUGCAGUGAACUCCAGUAAACCUAAGUGUCUUAUGAAAUCUAAACUCAUAUAUGUACACAGUUCACUCUAGCUUCUUCCAAAAUAUCUCUAGAUAGUAGAAUUGAAGCCAAACCUGCCUGACUUCCUGCUCCUGGCCACCCAAAACUCCAUAUGGCUUCUCGUACACUGCAUCCUCUGUCUACCCAUUUAACUGCUAAUUGAGUCUGAUAAAAGUCUUUGAAAAAAGUUUUUACUUCUAAGAUUUGCAUUCACGUCAUAAAAUUAAACCAUUUUCAGGAAAAUCAGAUUUUUUUAUUACACUACUAUUUGCUUUAAAUUCAGCAUGUUUUUCUUAAGUAGCAAGUACAUGUAUCAGAACUUACAACUGGUGGGUGCAGUGGCUCAUGCCUGUAAUCCCAGCACUUUGGGAGGCCAAGGUGGGGGGAUCACGAGGUCAGGAGAUGGAGACUAUCCUGGUUUCAUCACGGUGAAAUCCCCUUUCUGCUAAAAAUACAAAAAAUUAGCCAGGCGUGGUGGCGGUCACCUGUAGUGGUGGCGGUCACCAGCUACUCAGGAGGCUGAGGCAGGAGAAUGGCAUGAACCCGGGAGGCAGAGCUUGCAGUGAGCAGAGAUUAUGCCACUGCACUCCAGCCUGGGUGACAGAGUGAGACGCUGUCUC